rnacentral:rRNA from 1 species
AAUAGAUACCCUGGUAGUCCACGCCGUAAACGAUGAGUGCUAAGUGUCGGGGGUGACCAACCCUCGGUGCUGUCGCUAACGCAAUAAGCACUCCGCCUGGGGAGUACGGCCGCAAGGCUGAAACUCAAAGGAAUUGACGGGGGACCCGCACAAGCGGUGGAGCAUGUGGUUUAAUUCGAAGCAACGCGAAGAACCUUACCAAGGCUUGACAUCCCUCUGACCGGUUUAGAGAUAGACCUUUCCCUUCGGGGACAGAGGUGACAGGUGGUGCAUGGUUGUCGUCAGCUCGUGUCGUGAGAUGUUGGGUUAAGUCCCGCAACGAGCGCAACCCUUAUCUUUAGUUGCCAGCAUUCAGUUGGGCACUCUAGAGAGACUGCCGGUGACAAACCGGAGGAAGGUGGGGAUGACGUCAAAUCAUCAUGCCCCUUAUGUCUUGGGUCUACACACGUGCUACAAUGGGUGGUACAAAGGGCUGCAAAACCGCGAGGUUUAGCUAAUCCCAAAAAGCCACUCUCAGUUCGGAUUGCAGGCUGCAACUCG